ACAACAAUCGUCCGCGCGUCCGUUGGGUUCUGUUUUCAGUUGUUUUUCAAACGCUAAACGUGUUGGUCGUAUCGAAUACGUGUGCGGAAUAAAGUGCGCAAAAAUAUUUACUUUACUGAAGAAAGUUAAUAAAAAUAAUUGAAUGGAAUAUUCGUUAAUAAAGUUGAAGUGCAAAUAAAAAAGCUUUUUGCUCGCAAACAACAAAUGUGUACGGUAAACAAAACAUAAGUGCAGAAAAUAAGAAAUAAAACCAUAAGCUUCAAAAACCAGUUAAGAACCAACAGGUGAAUAUAACUGUGAAAUAAUAAAAAUAAAAAACUAAAACUAACAAUAAUCACCAGAAAAAGAAAAAGAAGGCGUCGUUUAGAAAGGU